rnacentral:rRNA from 1 species
CCCGCAACGAGCGCAACCCUUAUUGUCAGUUGCCACCAUUUAGUUGGGCACUCUGGCGAAACUGCCCCGGAUAACGGGGAGGAAGGUGGGGAUGACGUCAAGUCCUCAUGGCCUUUAUGUCCAGGGCUACACACGUGCUACAAUGGCCGGUACAAACCGUCGCAAACCCGCGAGGGGGAGCUAAUCGGAAAAAGCCGGUCAAAAUCCGGAUUGACUGAGAGAGGUACUCAGGUCCAUGAAGCUGGAAUCGCUAGUAAUCG